rnacentral:rRNA from 1 species
UACGUAGGGUGCAAGCGUUGUCCGGAAUUAUUGGGCGUAAAGAGCUCGUAGGCGGUCUGUUGCGUCCGCUGUGAAAACUCGGGGCUUAACCCCGAGCCUGCAGUGGAUACGGGCAGACUAGAGGUAGGUAGGGGAGAAUGGAAUUCCCGGUGUAGCGGUGAAAUGCGCAGAUAUCGGGAGGAACGACCGGUGGCGAAGGCGGUUCUCUGGGCCUUACCUGACGCUGAGGAGCGAAAGCGUGGGGAGCGAACAGG